UACGUAGGGUGCUAGCGUUGUCCGGAUUUAUUGGGCGUAAAGGGUGCGUAGGCGGGUCUUUAAGUCAGGGGUGAAAUCCUGGAGCUCAACUCCAGAACUGCCUUUGAUACUGAAGAUCUUGAGUUCGGGAGAGGUGGGUGGAACUGCGAGUGUAGAGGUGAAAUUCAUAGAUAUUCGCAAGAACACCAGUGGCGAAGGCGGCUCACUGGCCCGAUACUGACGCUGAGGAGCGAAAGCGUGGGGAGCAAACAGG
rnacentral:rRNA from 1 species